rnacentral:rRNA from 1 species
UACGUAGGUGGCGAGCGUUGUCCGGAUUUACUGGGCGUAAAGAGCGCGCAGGCGGUCGUGCAAGUCGCGUGUGAAAGCCCCCGGCUCAACUGGGGAGGGUCACGCGAUACUGCUCGACUUGAAGGCAGGAGAGGGAAGUGGAAUUCCUGGUGUAGCGGUGAAAUGCGUAGAUAUCAGGAGGAACACCUGCGGUGUAGACGGCUUUCUGGACCAUAACUGACGCUGAGAUACGAAAGCGUGGGUAGCAAACAGG